UGUAGCCAAACCAAGUUAGAGCUGAGCUAUGGACUGAAUCAAUCGGAGGGCUGAGCAUGAAUGACUUCAUUGUGGCGGCCAAGAUAGAUCUCAUCAAAACAUCAGAUCUUGUCCCGAAGAAGAGAAUAUGGGCAUAAAAUAAAAUAAAUCAGCGAGAGUACUCAUGUGCCAAUAGGCCUCUGCUGCAAUGCAAGGAGCUUGUGCAGA